UUUUUUUUUUGCCUUUUCUAAAACUGUGUUUUAAUGUGUCUUUUUGUUGCUAUUUGGUUUUGUUUUGUUUUCUGGCAUGACUGUCAUUGAUUCCUGCUUGUUCUAUCAACUAUUACAGGAGAAGAAGAAGUGACAAUAUAACUUUUGGGAAAUGUAAAAACAUUAACCUCAUACAAAUACACAAUGAACAUAUGUUAAAGGUUUAAAGAGAACCAGAGGAAGACAAAGUUGGUUCUGAAGGAAUACCAGAGGCUGGUAUAUACAAGCGGUGAAAAUGACCAAAACCGCCUUAACAUUUCCCUCAGCGGGACUAAACUUCGAACAGGAGCAAGUUUCUUCCUGAUGAGAGCCUCCCACCCCGCCACCUUCUUUUCUUAGAGCAUUUACUUUGAAAAACCAUGCAAUUGUAGAUUCUAGCUCUGUCUCUUUGAGAUGUAAAUCUUCUACAACCCAGGAAUGUCUUUCUCAGGCACCUGGGAGCCAUCCUUUUGAAAUGUAAUCAUCAAGAAGGAUAACGCCUUUGUCUCUCAGUCUCUGUGGGAGGGUAGGAGUCUAACUUUGAAAAGCACCAAUUAGCACAGGUGGUCUAGCGCACUGACCCACCUCCCCUUAAUGCCUUCCAGUACUUUUUCCCUAGCACCUGAGCUGCUUAAACAUGCUCUGUGUUCAAUCUAUAGUCCCUACUGUAUUAGUCUUCAAUGAAGUCUUCCUGCCAUCUGUAACAAGUGGCCUGUACAAUACGUCUUUGACAAAGGAAAAAGGGCUGAAAUAAGACUGCAAAGUUAUAAACAAAAUUGGCUAAUGUCCUUCAGGGCAAUAAAGUGUGACCUUUGGGGUUUGCUUUUCUUCUGAAGAGAAUUAAUUUGCAUCCUUCCCAGACAAAAAUAAUUUACAACUUAUCAGUGUGCUAUACGUUUACAUCUCACUUCACAGAGUCCUAGAUAGUAACCCUCAUUGUAUGUCUGGGUGUAACUUAAUGAACACGCUUAAGGUUUCAGCAACACCUUGUCAAAAUACUGGUCAAAUAGUUUUAGCACAUUUUUUAAAAAUUAUUUUUUCCUAAAGUUUGCAAGGCCAUAGCUUCAUUUCCUCUGGAAGUUUUCUAAUGCUACAUAUUUAAUCAUUUAGUUACCUGUCUGUUUUCAUCAAUUUCUAAAUUUCAUCAAUUCUAAGAUGCACAUUUUGCUCAUAUUUUAUCAUCUCUGAAACUGGAAUGUCCUUUACAAUUGCUGUGAUAAGAAAGCAUCGUGUCAUAGUUUAUUGGUACAGAUAUUGAUUGUUUCUCUUACAAUAUUUGCCAUCUUACACUCACUGAAAUAAGAUAAGUGCCUGCAAAGAAUUUAUGAAGGCGCUAUCAAGGAAAAACAUGUACAAAUGAUAAAGCUUUCCACUUAUCAAUAUAAACUUCUGCAAUUGUGUCAAUACUUCAAGUCCACAUAAUGAUUCAAAUUUCACACUCUUCCAUUCCCUUUUUAGACUAUAUAUAAUUCCAUCUUAGUUCCAAAUCACACUCCCUGCAGUUUUCUAUAUUUUUUUUCCUCUGCUGCAAUGACUUUUCGUAUUUCCUAUUUUGUUUCCUUCAACUCCUUAUUUCAUCAAAAUUCAUUUAAAUUGAUCAAGCUGUUUGUAUGUACCAUGAUUAUUCUAGUAGUGAUCACAAAUAAAAUAUUGAAAACUUCCAAAAGAAACAAAAUCAUGCCUUACCAAAAUUCAGGAAAAAAAAUAAAGGGGAAAAAACUGAAAUAAGCUGACUAAUUAGUCUUCGACAAAGUGUUUCUGAAACUUUCAGAUGGCUAAUUGAGUAACUUCCAAAGAGUAUUAGAAAAAAUAUGCAAAUGGUCACUAUGUCAGACUAUAGUCAGAAGUGUUAACUAAAUGAAAAGGGUAGGGUAGAGACAGUUUACAGAUAGUUUGAAUGGCAUAGACACCAGCACAACAACAUGAAACAAAGGGCUCUAAGAAACUUAAAGUAGGGGAGUCCCCAUCGUGGCGCAGUGGUUAACAAAUCCGACUAGGAGCCCUGAGUCGGAUUCGUUAACCACUGCGCCACGACAGGAAUUCCUACAGCAUUAUCUUUUAUGACAUUCAUGGGAGAAAAUGGAUAGUUCCAGAUCUGUAAUUGUGAGAUAUAAUGAAAUGAGUUAAACGCUUAUUCAAUUACCUCUUUUAAGUUUUUGUUUUAUAAUCUCAGAUUCUAUAUCAAGAAGCAGUUACUAAAUGGAGACCUGCCUAAAAGCUAGAAACUCCAUUGUAACACCUGCAUAAAUCUAGGCCACAGCAACUGAUCAUAAAAGUCUUACUGAUUCUUUACCUAAGAAUUAGGGAAAAUGAAUAUAAGGACUUUGUAUGUAUUCUAAUCAGAGUAAGCUGGUUGUCUAUUUCCUGGACAAUGAAAAUUCUUCUGGGAACUAGAAUUAGAAAUAUUUGAAAGAGAAGGGAUUUGGCCAGUUAAUUCUUCAGGAAAGUUGAUGAGGUAAUUCUAUAAUCUGUUGUUAGUGUGGCUUAGAAUCUGAGCAGAGGGGGUAGCUAUUGAGGGCAGGAUGCAUACAUGUAUAUUAGGGGUAGGUAUGUAUGGUAGUAUUGAGAAUACUAAUAUUUCUUUUUUUUUUUUUUAAUUUUGGCCACCCCUGUGGCAUGUGAAAAUACCUGGGCCAGGGAUAGGACCCGUGCCACUGCAGCAACCUGAGCCACUGCAGUGACAACACCAGAUCCUUAAUCUGCUGAGCCACAGGGGAACUCCUGAGAAUACCAGUAUUUUUUAAUAUUUUCAGAAAUUUUAAAGAAGGAUGGCUGUGGAAAUUUUAAAAAGGAAGGCUGUUCAAGAAUAUGCAUUACUCACUCAGCAAAUAUUGACAGUGUUUACCAUGUACAAAACAAAAAUAAGAUACUGAGUCCUUUCAGUAUAUGUGAAGGGAGGCUUUUUGACUGUGCCCAAAAUGGGUAGUAAUUUCCCUUCUAUAUCUGCUUCCCCAUCUUCCUCAGUGUAGAUGCUUUUGGUACCCCACUCAGAAUGUCUUCACCAGCUAUUGUACCCAUAUCUCAGCUGCUGCAGGUGUUGAUUGCUGGCUCAUACUUGUACCCUUUUCUAGAGACUCAUCUUAGCAUGACAAGAGCUUCCUGGAGGGAGAUUACUACAAAGUGCAGGCCCUGCCCCUUAGCGUCAAGGCAAGAUAAAUUCUGUGGAAUAAUAUAUUCCACAGUUCACUGCAGGAUCAGGCUGAAUCUAGAUUUUUGUUUUUUGCCUUUUUUACAUUAAUUAAACUUUAUUGAGGUAUAGUUGAUUUACAAUGUUGUGAUAAUUUCUGCUGUACUACAAAGUGAUUAAGUUAAACACACAUAUACAUCCAUUCUUUUUCAGAUUCUUUCCCCAUAU
ensembl:lncRNA